rnacentral:tmRNA from 1 species
GGGGCUGACUGGAUUUGACAGCGUGUAGAGGUGGUAAGUAAGCAUGCAGAGUGAUGAUGGCUAUCUCUUUAAUCUACGACAUCAAAAAUUUCAAAUGGCGAAAAUAACUACGCUCUUGCUGCUUAACCGAAGUAUAGUAAGUUAGCUUAAUCUUUGCCACAGUGGCAGAGACAAGACAUCACCCGAUUGUCUGGUUCCGAGACGCUUCGAUAUGGUGGUGCUCAGUAAUUCGGAAAUAGAAUGCAUUAAGCUGCGGAAUGUGUUUGAAAUUUAGCAGAUAAGCUAUGUGUUGGUGGUCUCGAGCCUGCCCAUAGUCGAAAACCAAGUCAAGACUAAGCAUGUAGAAAGCUUAUUAGUUCCACGUUUGGAC